rnacentral:lncRNA from 1 species
GUUGGCAGUGUGUCGUCGUGCUUAUCCUUCAGCGUUGUUUCUCUUUGAAACCGCCAAAGACUUCGCUACAGACCCUGAAACCAAGAUUGUGAAUCAAGACCGUCUCAUGUCCAUGAUAUGCCCCGCUGACACAUCAGGAAUGUCGUCUCCACUGUAUCUGCUGUGUUGUAAUGACACGUGUUCAUUCACGUGGACAGGAACAAAACAUAUUCGACAGAAUAUAUUUGAAUGCAGGACGUGUGGCUUGACGGGGACAUUGUGUUGUUGUACGGAGUGUGCCAGAGUUUGUCAUCGUGGUCAUGACUGCAAG